AAUGACAUCAAACCUUUUUCUGUUUACUUUUUCUGUGCUUCUUUCAUCUUAUCUAUCAACUUUCAAAAGUUUAAAGGGAUGAAAGCGCAAAGAUACUAUCUUCACAGAUCGACAACUCCUUUAUACAACGAAGAAAAUGAAACCCGAAACCAAACCAUUGACAAAUAAGAAGAGCAGGCACUAAAUAUAUGAUGAUAAAUGAGAGGUAAAUGU